GUGGACUCCAGGUGAAGGGCCAUGAACAGAGCCCUGGGUAUGGGCCCACAGCAGCCAGGAGCUGAGCCCCUGAGUGUGGGGCCAGCAGAAGAUGGUACCCUAUAUCCAGAGCCCCGUGUGCAGGGCUGGCGGCAGCGGGGGUCCCGCAUGCGGGGCUGGGGACAGAGCCUCAGGCGUAGGUCCAGCAGCAGCCAGGGUCCUGCGUGCGGGUUGGGAACAGUGCCCCAGGCGCAGGUCCAGCAGCAGCCAGGGUCCUGCGCGCGGAUUGGGAACAGUGCCCCAGGCGCAGGUCCAGCAGCAGCCAGGGUCCUGCGUGCGGGUUGGGAACAGUGCCCCAGGCGCAGGUCCAGCAGCCGCCAGGGUCCUGUGUGCGGGGCUGGGAAGGCGGGAACAGUCGGGACCACAGGUGCAGGGCCAGGAGCAGAGCCCCAGAUGCUGGACUGGCAGGCCCAGGACUCUGGGUACAGUGGGGCAGGCAGGACCCCACACAAAAACUGGGGGUGCUGCAGCACCCCUGCAUUCCUAGUUCCGGUGCCUAUGAGUCCUCCAGGGUCAGAGAGACCUGGAUUACUAAGGCUAGAGAAGCUUUCAUUCUCGGUGGCUGUUGGGGCUGACCGCAAGUUACCUUAGCCUGUUGUUACAGAAUGGUUGGUGGGGGUUGGGGGGCGGCGCGGGGGAGAACUAGUAGUGAACUGGCUUUGACUGGCCAGGCUGGCUUGCAGCCACUCGACUGGAUAAACGAGAAAAGAGCUAAGGAGGGCCUGAGAGGGUUACGUGUGAGGGGAAUAGAAAUCAGUAGUGUUUCCUGCCAGAGCCUGCUUGUGGAUGUAUACACCCCCUGAGGAAGAGAUGAUAAAAACAACUAUGAGAAUUGCUUUAGACGAACAGUCUCACCUGCGGACCUAGGCCUUGUGAGUGCCCAGGAAUUCCCCCUCGCUGGAGCAGCGCCUGCUAUGAGCCCUCAAGGACAAGGCUGGAGGGUCCGGGACUGUCCGUAGCAGAAGGGGCAUAAGCACUGAUUCUUGCUUGCUUGGUUGCUGGAAAGCAUGUAUUUAGUAACGCGUGAAGGCUGGGAAGCUUAUUAUACUUUGGCAAUAAAACUGGUUGUACUUAUA